rnacentral:rRNA from 1 species
CUUAACUGCGCGGCGAAAAAACCUUACACACAGUGUUUUCUUUAUUAGAAACUAUUGCUUUGGUCUGGCUUAGAAAUAAGUUGGGCCAGAGGUUUAACUAAACUUCAAUUUUAUUAUUGAAUUGUUAUUUUAUUUAAUUUGUCAAUUUGUUGAUUAAAUUCAAAAAAUCUUCAAAACUUUCAACAACGGAUCUCUUGGUUCUCGCAUCGAUGAAGAACGCAGCGAAAUGCGAUAAGUAAUAUGAAUUGCAGAUUUUCGUGAAUCAUCGAAUCUUUGAACGCACAUUGCGCCCUUUGGUAUUCCAGAGGGCAUGCCUGUUUGAGCGUCAUUUCUCUCUCAAGCCCUCGGGUUUGGUAUUGAGUGAUACUCUUAGUCAGACUAGGCGUUUGCUUGAAAAGUAUCGGCAUGAGUAGUACUAGAUAGUGCUUUCAGGAUAUUUCAAUGUAUUAGGUUUAUCCAACUCGUUGAGAAUUCUUGGUAGUGAAUUUUU